AGUGAACGCUGGCGGCGUGCUUAACACAUGCAAGUCGAACGAGAACGGAUUAUAGCUUGCUAUAAUUGUCAGCUAAGUGGCGCACGGGUGAGUAAUGUAUAGGUAAUAUGCCUCUUACUAAGGGAUAACAAAUGGAAACGUUUGCUAAUACCUUAUACUCCUUAUUAACCUAAGUUAAUAAGGGAAAGAUUUAUUGGUAAGAGAUUAGCCUGUAUUGUAUCAGUUAGUUGGUGGGGUAAUGGCUUACCAAGACUAUGACACAUAACUGGUUUGAGAUGAUGAGUAGUCACACUGGAACUGAGACACGGCCCAGACUCCUACGGGAGGCAGCAGUGGGGAAUAUUGCACAAUGGACGAAAGUCUGAUGCAGCAACGCCGCGUGGAGGAUGACACAUUUCGGUGCGUAAACUCCUUUUAUAUGAGAAGAUAAUGACGGUAUUAUAUGAAUAAGCACCGGCUAACUCCGUGCCAGCCGCCGCAGUAA
rnacentral:rRNA from 1 species